UACAGGGGGGGCAAGCGUUGUUCGGAAUUACUGGGCGUAAAGGGUUUGUAGGUGGCUUGUUAAGUCAGACGUGAAAUCCCUCAGCUUAACUGGGGAACUGCGUCUGAUACUGAUGAGCUUGAGUGCAGGAGAGGAACGCGGAAUUCCAGGUGUAGCGGUGAAAUGCGUAGAUAUCAAGUGGAACACCAGUGGCGAAGGCGAAUCUCUGGACAAUUCCUGACACUGAUGCUCGAAAGCUAGGGGAGCAAACGGG
rnacentral:rRNA from 1 species